AUUGAACGCUGGCGGCAGGCCUAACACAUGCAAGUCGAACGAGUGGCGGACGGGUGAGUAAUGUCUGGGAAACUGCCUGAUGGAGGGGGAUAACUACUGGAAACGGUAGCUAAUACCGCAUACCAUCGGAUGUGCCCAGAUGGGAUUAGCUAGUAGGUGGGGUAAAGGCUCACCUAGGCGACGAUCCCUAGCUGGUCUGAGAGGAUGACCGGCCACACUGGAACUGGGACACGGUCCAGACUCCUACGGGAGGCAGCAGUGGGGAUUAUUGCACAAUGGGCGCAAGCCUGAUGCAGCCAUGCCGGGUGUUUGAAGAAGGCCUUCGGGUUGUAAAGUACUUUCAUCGGGGAGGCGUUACCCGCAUAAGAAGCACCGGCUAACUCCGUGCCAGCAGCCGCGGUAAUUC
rnacentral:rRNA from 1 species